rnacentral:siRNA from 1 species
ACAACGAAACGAACAACAAGCUGC